CGGCAUUGUGACGUUGAGUGGAAUGCACGGCAUUCCUCAAAAAGUAUAUUUGGAAACCGAUAAGCCAAAUAUAGCUCAGGUUUACGUGGCGUGGGAGUUUUGUAAAUCUGUAGCAGACGUGCUUAAGGAUCCACUUUUAAGCACAGACCUACAGAACUGAGAGGAGGAUGGGUGGUCUUCAGGUCAGGCUGAGGGAGCUUUAAGGGAACAUUGUCUGCAAUGCAAAGCUGAAGACCCUGUUGGCGGCUUUGUCGCACUGUUUGCUUAAAGCACUGUUUGCUUAUGUCUGAGCCAACAUGAGAGAGAGAGCGAAAGGAGACAAGGUACGUGCUGCGAGCCAUGCUCCACGAUCACAGAAAAGGAUUGGGGUGGGAGGUGAGGGAUGUGCGGGGGCAGGGGUGUCCAGCCACAGUGGCUCCUGGUGUGGAAUGGGACGCAGCGACCGAAUCUGGGAAUCAUGGGAGUCGGGGAUGAACCCUCGUGCACUUGGUUAACCAACAAAGACCACCAGGUUUUUUGGGCUCUCGGCCAAUUAGGUCUCCUCCUCUGGCGCGACACAAGACAGGAAGCUGACAUAAAAGAAUGAGAUUGCAUAAGCGGUGCUGCCAUGGACUCGUUUAGCACGCUGACAACACCUGUGGGGUCAGGAACACCCUCCUCCAAGGUAUUUCCUGUUCGAAGCCACGUCCGCGUACUACGCCACCACUGGAAAAGGCUAAAUCUUUCUGUAUGUGAUGAAACCCAAAUUUAUUUACAAUGAUGACGACAAAAAAAAGAAGUUUUUACUCAAUGUUUUUUUUUAAAGUGAUGCUAAAUUAAGUGGAGUCCUGGAUUAAAUGGUACAUUGUGAAUUAGCGACAUAUGUUAGUUUUGCUUUUAUCCUCACAUUCUAGUGACCAUCAGUCUGUUUAAAGAUGGAAAUCAGCCUUAAAGGCUACAAUCUUUACAUUUGAAACGUAUACGUCACAUUUAGAUACGCUAACCCUGUCUUAAACAUUCAGUUGGGGACAAACUUGACCUUAUCUUGACCCUGUGACCAUCUCACCACGUCCUCCUCAUGUCUUAUUAGUGAAAAUGACGUCAGGGUUACAGAUUUUUAUAAGUCUUUAAUUCUUAAACUACAGAUUCUUUUUUAAAUAUAACCAUAGAUCAGACUUCACCUGACGGCACUGCGGAGGACCUGAUCAGUGGCGUGAAGAAGUUCUUGUUAAUGUCCUGGUUUUAAUGUUUCAUGCCUUAAAAGCAGUUUAACUAUUGGACAAAAUAAACUCUAAAUGGGUCUUUACAUUUACAUUUAUGUUUUGUGAGCAUCAAACAUUAGAUUUGAAACACAAUAUGUGUAUAAAACCACCAAAAAACCACAAGCUCAGUUUGACAGAAAUUUGUGCAAAAAUGGUAGAAUAGAGAAAAGUCUAGAAUUCACAGAAACUGCUUGUUAAAUGACAGAAAACUCUUCUUUUGGGCCUUUCUGAAACCUUCUCCAAAACUUCACAUGAGGAUGUCAGACCUCAACAAGAUGAGACUUUAUUAAAAAUAAGUAAAACACAUAAAGGACUUUAAAUAAAAGGCUUUUAUUUUGUAGGACUUCAGUCAGACUGAACUGGUCAAAGUGUGUCAGAGCUUGAAGCCCUUUGCUGCUGAAGAGUCUGAAUGACUGUUUAGAAUAGAAUAGAAAAUAAAAAGAAAAGAAUGAUAGAAAAAAGGGAUAGAACAGAAAGGGAUGAAGUUAAAAAGUACAGAAAGGAAUAGAAAAAUUACAUAAAGAAAGGAUGUAAUAGAAAAGAGUUAAAAAUUAUAUAAAAGAAUAGUAAAAAUAGAAAAGAAAAUGAUA